GACGAACGCUGGCGGCGUGCUUAACACAUGCAAGUCGAACGGUGAAGCGCCUUCCUUUUUGGUGGGUGUGGAUGAGUGGCGAACGGGUGAGUAACACGUGAGUAACCUGCCCCCUUCUUCUGGAUAACCGCAUGAAAGUGUGGCUAAUACGGGAUAUUCUGGGUCUGUCGCAUGAUGGGUCUGGGAAAGAUAUUGUUUCGGUGGGGGAUGGGCUCGCGGCCUAUCAGCUUGUUGGUGGGGUGAUGGCCUACCAAGGCGGUGACGGGUAGCCGGCCUGAGAGGGUGGACGGUCACACUGGGACUGCGACCCGGCCCAGACUCCUACGGGAGGCAGCAGUGGGGAAUAUUGCACAAUGGGCGCAAGCCUGAUGCAGCGACGCCGCGUGAGGGAUGGAGGCCUUCGGGUUGUGAACCUCUUUCGCCAGUGAAGCAGGCCUGCCUCGUUUGUGGGUGGGUUGACGGUAGCUGGAUAAGAAGCGCCGGCUAACUACGUG
rnacentral:rRNA from 1 species